AUUCCAGCUCCAAUAGCGUAUAUUAAAGUUGUUGUGGUUAAAAAGCUCGUAGUUGGAUUUCGGCGGAUAUUGGUUGGUUUGAAUUGCUUCAACACUGACUUUUUUACCCGUGUGUUUUGCCAGAAUUUAGCGGGUGAUCUUCGCCGAUUGUCCGUUGGAACUGGUAGGUUUACUUUGAAAAAAUUAGAAUGCUCAAAGCAAGCUUACUGCUUGAAUAGUUGCGCAUGGAAUAAUAGAAUAGGAAGUCGUUUCUAUUUUGUUGGUUUUCGGAAAUCGACUUAAUGAUUAAUAGGGAUAGUCGGGGGCAUUCGUAUUCAAACGACAGAGGUGAAAUUCUUGGACCGUUUGAAGACGAACUAAGGCGAAAGCAUUUGCCAAGAAUGUUUUCAUCG
rnacentral:rRNA from 1 species